UAUGGUAAUUGUGUGCCAGCCUCUUCUUUACAACGUAGGUCACAAGCGUUGUCCGGAAUUACUGGGUGUAAAGGGAGCGCAGGCGGGAAGACAAGUUGGAAGUGAAAUCUAUGGGCUCAACCCAUAAACUGCUUUCAAAACUGUUUUUCUUGAGUAGUGCAGAGGUAGGCGGAAUUCCCGGUGUAGCGGUGGAAUGCGUAGAUAUCGGGAGGAACACCAGUGGCGAAGGCGGCCUACUGGGCACCAACUGACGCUGAGGCUCGAAAGUGUGGGUAGCAAACAGG
rnacentral:rRNA from 1 species